rnacentral:rRNA from 1 species
UACGAAGGGGGCUAGCGUUGUUCGGAUUUACUGGGCGUAAAGCGCACGUAGGCGGAUCGUUAAGUCGGGGGUGAAAUCCUGGAGCUCAACUCCAGAACUGCCUUCGAUACUGGCGAUCUCGAGUCCGGAAGAGGUGAGUGGAACUCCUAGUGUAGAGGUGGAAUUCGUAGAUAUUCGGAAGAACACCAGUGGCGAAGGCGGCUCACUGGCCCGGUACUGACGCUGAUGUGCGAAAGCGUGGGGAGCAAACAGG